UAACACUUGGACAGGAAUUAUCAGAUGUGUCCCAGUUUUACAAAGUCGACAAGAGGCCCAGCACGUUGAGAAUGUGAUGUUCCAUGAAGCAGGCCCUAACCCACAGCUCCUCUACGACUAAGUGUCACACUGACAGAGAUUGCUGGGGAUAAGUAUAUUUAUAUUUAUGUUUUGCACAAACACAACUGUCAUCUAAAAUCAAAAAUCCUGACUGCAAGUUCUCUUGCUGUCUAAUGCUGUAAUGUAGUACCUACUGUACAUGUGUGUUUCCACAUGUGCAGUGUACAGUGUUCAUAUGCUUGGAUCAAUUUAUAUUAAGGACAAAAUUUCUGGUUAUGCAGUGGACUUUUUGGAGGCCUGUCUUAUGUCUCAUGCAAGGUUCAAGGAUCAAGGAAUGUGAUUUAUUAAGAAGCCGUCACUCUUAUUAUGGUCAUUAUAAUACAAAUGUAUGCCUUGAAAUAGAGAUACCUUAACUUGUUAUUUAAUACAUAGGAUUCAAUUUGAAAUUUUCCCUCUUCCACAAUAAAGAGGAGCAAAUGAAUUAAUUACUUUAUAAUAUAUAUUUUAAUCUGCCAUCGUACAGUAUAUUGAUGUUGAAACGCAUGCAAUCUGUGCAUGUCUAAACUUCAAGUCAGCUGUGUCUGGAAUGUAAGCUGUAGAGCUGUUAUGGCUUAGAGGCAGUGUAGGAUUUUUUGCUUAGAAUGUGUGACUGUGUAGCAGCUGCUGGAAUCAAUAGAAGGCUGAGUAUGGAAAUAUUGAAUAAUUGCUUCUUAAAAAGAGGAAAGGAGCUGCCUGAUAAGUCCAGUAUACCAUGUGUAUAGCUGUGAGGUACUUGAAAAAUGCACAUGUUCUCUAUGUCUUAUCUCAGCUUAGGAUUAGUAUGAAGCAAGCAGAGGAGAAGAAGAGUGCAGAGGAGCAUCAUCUCCAAGAAUGAAUGAAAGUUGGAGCUAAGCUGCCAACGGGUUACCCAAGGUACAGAAUCACUGCUUUAAAAAAAAAAAACGAAAAGUAGGAAUUCAACUGACUCAGAGCAGUUAGCAGAGAAAAGGAUAAGAGGAAUGAGAGAAGGGUGGAGAGAGACCCCGAGACAUAUGUGUGCACACAUGUAUGUGUAUAGAGAGUUUAGGUGUUCAGGCAGGAGUGAAUCCUUCAACUAUUCAAUGGUGCAGCAUCUGGAGUGAGGAGGGUGAAACUGCAUCUAUUCUUACUCUGCUGGCACAAAUAGAGCAAAGAGUCACUUAUUUACUGACACUUCACUCCUACACACAUCUACAGGGAAACCUUUCAUUCAGAAUGUUGGGAAAAAAUAUACUCCUAGAAAAUGCAUUCAUAAAAACAGUAGUUCUGUCUUUUGAUGUUCUUUUUAAAUAUUUAUUUUCUUUAUUGAUUUUGUUUGAAAUGAAGUAUAUAAUUCAGUAAUUUGAUAGCUGAAGUGGUGUCAUCUAAAGAGCAUUGUAAUCUCUAUUUUGACAAAGCCAUAUUUGCCUGGGGGUCAAAGAGAGAAAAACUGUUUAUGUUUCCCAGGGUGGGAAAGGUGACACACGUUCUCUAUAUUACUUACAGUGAAAUAAGGUAAUUGUGGGUGACUGCAAGUUUAUAAAUGCAGAAGAGGAAGGAUGGUUUGGUCCAUUUUUCAUAUAUAGUAAACUAGUAAAAUAUAUUUUUAAGACCCACAGCGUUUCAGAUUUGAAAGUGACAGACUGGUAUGAGCUAAUAGGAUGGCUAACGUAAAUGAUUAAACUGUGGUGCAGAAUGCAGAAAGGGAUCUCAGUAUGCACAAAACAUGGGUACAACUACAGAACAUCACAUUCUGCUUCUUUCACCCAAGAACAAGAAUCUGCCUCUAUAUUGGCAUCAGCUCAACUAAACUAGACAGUUAAGAUUGAAAAUUAUUACAUAGCUGUUGUAGAUGGUAAGUUUAAAUGCUCAGCUUGUUGAUAAUGGAUCAGAAAAAAUGUUUGCAAACUGCAAUAAAAUAAAUUCAUCAAGACACAAGGUUAAAAUUCAGUUUAAAUAAUGGUGCCAGAAUAGAUAUCCUAUAUUUAAAAUGUCAGAACAUGACUGAUGUGCAUGUAACAUGCAAAUGUAGGACUUGUAGUGUUCCUCAUGUACCAUAGAUUUAUUUAGACCAGUUAGACUAAUGGAUGUAAUUUGAAUUUCAAAGUCAGCUGUAACAAAUUCAGUUGAUUGGGCAUGAUUUCUAAAGUUACAGUACAUUUCAGAAUAUGUCAUUCGUCAUGUUCACUAUGUAGAAAGUCAUCAUGCUUGUCAUCAGGUAGACCUCUACUAGACAAUCCAAAUGUCUGCAAUAACCGAACAUUACUGUAUUGUUUUGUAUAAUUACACUAUAUGAACAAAAGUAUUGGGACACCUGA